rnacentral:rRNA from 1 species
GACGAACGCUGGCGGCGUGCUUAACACAUGCAAGUCGAACGGUAAGGCCCUUCGGGGUACACGAGUGGCGAACGGGUGAGUAACACGUGAGUAACCUGCCCUUGACUCUGGGAUAACUGCGGGAAACUGUAGCUAAUACCGGAUACGACCCUCGGCGGCAUCGCCAGGGGGUGGAAAGAAUUUCGGUCAAGGAUGGACUCGCGGCCUAUCAGCUAGUUGGUGAGGUAACGGCUCACCAAGGCGACGACGGGUAGCCGGCCUGAGAGGGUGACCGGCCACACUGGGACUGAGACACGGCCCAGACUCCUACGGGAGGCAGCAGUGGGGAAUAUUGCACAAUGGGCGCAAGCCUGAUGCAGCAACGCCGCGUGAGGGAUGACGGCCUUCGGGUUGUAAACCUCUUUUAGUAGGGAAGAAGCGAAAGUGACGGUACCUGCAGAAAAAGCACCGGCUAACUACGUGCCAGCAGCCGCAGUAA